UACGGAGGGUGCGAGCGUUGUUCGGAUUCACUGGGCGUAAAGGGUGCGUAGGCGGUUUGACAAGUCUGAUGUGAAAUCCCGCAGCUUAACUGCGGAACUGCAUUGGAAACUGUUUGACUAGAGGAAUGGAGGGGAGACUGGAAUACUUGGUGUAGCAGUGAAAUGCGUAGAUAUCAAGUGGAACACCAGUGGCGAAGGCGAGUCUCUGGACAGUUCCUGACGCUGAGGCACGAAAGCCAGGGGAGCAAACGGG
rnacentral:rRNA from 1 species